UGGGGAAUCUUGGACAAUGGGCGCAAGCCUGAUCCAGCCAUGCCGCGUGAGUGACGAAGGCCUUAGGGUUGUAAAGCUCUUUUACCAGGGACGAUAAUGACGGUACCUGGAGAAUAAGUCCCGGCUAACUUCGUGCCAGCAGCCGCGGUAAUACGAAGGGGACUAGCGUUGUUCGGAAUUACUGGGCGUAAAGCGCACGUAGGCGGGAUGGCCAGUCAGAGGUGAAAUCCCAGAGCUCAACUCUGGAACUGCCUUUGAUACAGCCAUUCUCGAGUCCGAUAGAGGUGAGUGGAAUUCCUAGUGUAGAGGUGAAAUUCGUAGAUAUUAGGAAGAACACCAGUGGCGAAGGCGGCUCACUGGAUCGGUACUGACGCUGAGGUGCGAAAGCGUGGGGAGCAAA
rnacentral:rRNA from 1 species